rnacentral:rRNA from 1 species
CCUACGGGAUGCACCAGUGGGGAAUUUUGGACAAUGGGCGAAAGCCUGAUCCAGCAAUGCCGCGUGCAGGAUGAAGGCCCUCGGGUUGUAAACUGCUUUUGUAUGGAACGAAAAGCCUGGGGCUAAUAUCCUCGGGUCAUGACGGUACCGUAAGAAUAAGCACCGGCUAACUACGAGCCAGCAGCCGCGGUAAUACGUAGGGUGCAAGCGUCAAUCGGAAUUACUGGGCGUAAAGCGUGCGCAGGCGGUUUUGUAAGACAGUGGUGAAAUCCCCGGGCUCAACCUGGGAACUGCCAUUGUGACUGCAAGGCUAGAGUGCGGCAGAGGGGGAUGGAAUUCCGCGUGUAGCAGUGAAAUGCGUAGAUAUGCGGAGGAACACCGAUGGCGAAGGCAAUCCCCUGGGCCUGCACUGACGCUCAUGCACGAAAGCGUGGGGAGCAAACAGGAUUAGAUACCCCCGUAGUC